rnacentral:rRNA from 1 species
CCUACGGGUGACAGCAGUGGGGGAUAUUGGACAAUGGGGGGAACCCUGAUCCAGCGACGCCGCGUGAGUGAAGAAGUAUUUCGGUAUGUAAAGCUCUGUCAGCAGGGAAGAAAGAAAUGACGGUACCUGAUCAAGAAGCCCCGGCUAACUACGUGCCAGCAGCCGCGGUAAUACGUAGGGGGCAAGCGUUAUCCGGAAUUACUGGGUGUAAGGGGAGCGUAGACGGUUAAGUAAGUCUGGAGUGAAAGGCCGGGGCCCAACCCCGGGACUGCUCUGGAAACUAGUGAACUUGAGUGCAGGAGAGGUAAGCGGAAUUCCUAGUGUAGCGGUGAAAUGCGUAGAUAUUAGGAGGAACACCAGUGGCGAAGGCGGCUUACUGGACUGUAACUGACGUUGAGGCGCGAAAGCGUGGGGAGCAAACAGGAUUAGAUACCCGGGUAGUC